rnacentral:lncRNA from 1 species
CAAAGGGUCAAAAAAAUUUUACGGACUAACCUCACACAUUUUCCCUGACAAAUUUUACUUAAAACAUGCUUUAAACGCGUUUUUUGCACCAAUAUCUGCAACAUUUAUGUUUAGAAAAUUUUUUCUCACACCAUUACUUAUAUCAAAAAACGUUUUAUUUUCCAAAUUUGGGGGCCACCCUUACACAACUAAUAAUUUCCCCUAUUGAAAAGUCUUUGCACACAUUUUUUUAAACUUUUUUCGUGCUCGAAGUUGUUUUUUUUU